AAAACCGGACCGUGGCCACCCCUAAGUAAAUCCUUGAUAUCGUGAGCAACUCUUUUGAACCAAACAUUUAUAUUCUGAAACUUAUGUUAGUGGCAAUUCAUUUAUAUUGAGAUUUGAUCAUCAAGGCAGCCAAUUUGAAGAUCACCAUGGAAAUUUGAAUUUGAGUUUAGAUAAAAUGUAAUGUGUUGUGGGUCUUAGCGUAGAAUUGAGUCACAGGUCGUUGAACAGGGUAGUCUCUUUAAUUGUUGGAUGGGUUUCCCUUAUUGGUGUUUCGGCCUUUGCUUGAACAACCUAUGGUGAAUUGCAAGAAAGGUCGUUGGAGGGAGGUUUAACCCCAGAAUUGUAAUGAAGCUCGUUAGAGGGAGUUCAUAACCUCUUGACAACGUUGUUAAAGAAAUUCUGCUUAUUUUAGUCCAAUUCUCCUGUUUCCCUCUUUUUCCGAAGGAGCCAAAGGCCAGACUUUCUCUGCACAGUUCGACAGAAAAAACAGUAGUAGAAGAGCAGCAGGAAAUUUACAGAACUCUGCUAGAUGGAAGUUCCAAAGAGAACUAGAUAUGGCUUCUCUGAGAUUUGUAAGAGAGAAUUGGGAUUGUCUCAGACUUUCACUCGUCGAUUCUCUGCUUCUGAGGUAGUUGUGAAGCAAAUCGAUCUUUAUGGGGAGCUAAUUGGUCAUGAGGGUUGUGUAAAUGCUGUAGAAUUUAACUCUACUGGCGAUCUUCUCGUGUCAGGUUCCGAUGACACACAGGUUAUGUUUUGGGAUUGGGCAACUAAAAGUAGAAAGCUUUCAUUUCCUUCUGGCCACUCUGACAACAUAUUUCAGACCCGUAUCAUGCCAUUCACUGAUGAUCGGAGAAUAGUUACUUCCUCAGCUGAUGGCCAGGUCAGGCUUGCCCAGGUCUUGGAGAAUGGCCAAGUUGAUACAACAGAGUUGGGGAAGCAUCAAGGGCACAUUUACAAGCUUGCCGUGGAGCCUGGAAGUCCCCAUAUAUUUUAUAGCUGUGGUGAAGAUGGUUUUGUGCAACAUUUCGAUCUGCGCAGUGGGUCUGCUACAAAGCUUUUUUAUUGCUCCUCAUUCUCAGAAAAUAGCAAACGGCCUUCUAAUAGUAUAAGAUUGAACGCCAUUGUAAUUGACCCAAGAAAUCCAAAUUACUUUGCUGUAGGAGGUUCCGAUGAAUUUGCACAUGUCUAUGACAUAAGAAAAUGCAAAUCAGAUGCAUCAAUUCAUUCAGAUACACCUGUAAACACAUUCUGCCCUCAUCACCUGAUAGGGUCUAAAAAUGUGCAUAUUACAGGAUUGGCUUACUCAAACACUAGUGAAUUGCUCGUCUCUUACAAUGAUGAACUUAUUUAUCUGUUUCAGAAGAACAUGGGAAUGGGACCUUACCCAUUGUCUAUAAGCCCUGAAGAUUUGAAGAAACUUGAGGAGCCUCAUGUUUACUUAGGUCACAGAAAUUCACGGACUGUUAAAGGAGUGAGUUUCUUUGGCCCUAAUGAUGAAUAUGUAUUGAGUGGGUCUGAUUGUGGCCAUAUAUUUAUCUGGGAGAAGCAAGGUGGUAAGCUUGUGCGUUUAAUGCAUGGUGAUCGACAUAUAGUAAAUCAACUAGAGCCCCAUCCACAUAUGCCUAUGUUUGCUAGCUGUGGAAUAGAAAAGAGUAUGAAGCUAUGGGUUCCCAUGGCAAGUGAAGCUCCUUCACUUCCUGACAAUGUUGAAAAGAUUAUGGAAUCAAAUAGGCAGGGCAGAGAGCAUCGUUCACAGGUAACUCUUACUCCAGAUGUCAUCAUGCAUGUUCUGCGCCUGCAAAGGCGGCAGACACUGGCAUACAUAGAAAGGAGAUACAGUAGAGCUGAUGUCGAGAGUGAUGAAGAUGAGGGAGAGGCAUAUGUUUUAGGGCUUUCAGAUGCCGAUGCGUCUUCUGAAGAGGGUUGCAGUAUUAGCUAGAGCUUGCAAGUUAUAUAUAAGCAAAUUGCAAUUUUAUAUGAUAUAUACAACAACAAUUAAGCCUUAAUUUCAAACUUGUUAGAGCCAGCUAUAUAAAUCCUUUUUUGUAAUAUAUAUUUUUGUAAUUUUUAAUACAGUCUAAGUUGCUGCAUGAGCGUAAAUAUUUCUACAGUUAAUAUCGCUUGGAUGUGUUGGUACUAUUUUCAUGUGGAGGGCUAAUGCGGAGUUGAGUUAAUGAUACUGGUCUUUGGUAGAGAGCUUGAUAGUUUUGUUCUACAAGUCAGAAAGGUACUUCAGCACCUAAAAUUCUUGUGAAAUUUUGCAAGUCCACCUCAAUAUAUGGAUAGUGGGGUGAUUAUUAAUUUGAUGCCAUGCGAUUGCCCUAUUGUUGAGCUGCAAUUUCUGUAGUAGCUGAUCAAGAUUCCUAUAUAUAAUUUAAUCUCAUCUUCGUAGUCUUCAAAAUACUAUUAGAUCCUCUUGAUAAGCUUGCUUGAAUUUUCAGUGAGUUUUGGUUAAU
rnacentral:misc_RNA from 1 species